GAAUUUUUGGAAGUGAAAUUGCUAACCCAAAGGACACAGACAUUUUUAAUUUUUUUUUCCCCAGUUGGCCCACCGGAAAUACUUUGCUUCAUUUUUAUUCUUCCUCCAAGCUUACCUGUUUCGUCACAUCCUCCCUAACGGUGGGCGUCAUCGUUCCAUUCACCUUUGUUCACAGGACGGGCACUACGUACCCCCUCAUUCGUUGCUGGACCUCACGCUCCGAGGAGCCGAGCCACACCCCGGUGCAAUGUCUGGCACAUAUUUGGUGCAUGCCCCCGCGCCGAGGGGGAGCCGGGCAGGUCCGUGCCCUGCGGCCUCCUCUCUUCAGUGCACAUGGGAGCACGGACACUGCGCCCAGGGCCUCCUGCCGAUGCAGGCAGCAGAGACUGGCCACGGGGGAUCCAGAGACGGAGAAAGAAGGAAGGGGCCUCAGCUCUGAGUCAGGCUGGGUGAGGCCAGGCCCAUCUGGCCUCCUACUCUCCAGAGCCUUGGGCAGGUGAGUGAGACUAGCCAAGCCAUGUUUCCUUAAUUGUUUUAUGGAUGUGAUGAUAGGAGACAGUCCUGAGACAUGGGAGGACUAAGCCAGAGUCCACACUUGGGGGAGCUGGAAGCAGUAGCAUUCCUUAUGCAACCAUUCUCCACUGCAGCAUAAAGGGGCAAGAAGGCCCUGAGGAUGAGGAUAAGAUGGGAUGGGGUUGAGAUGGGAAGGAAGGGAGGUGGGAAAGGGGAUGUAAUGGGAAGGGCUGGGGAUGGGAUGAGAUGGGAUGAGAGAGGAAGGCAUGGGGAUAAGAUGGAAUGGGAUGGGACGGAUAGGAAUGGGAUAGAGUGUGAAG
rnacentral:lncRNA from 12 species